CACAGCCCUAAACUUCGAUAAUAUCUUACAAUUAUUAUCCGCCCGGGAACUACGAGCAUUAGCUUAAAACCCAAAGGACUUGGCGGUGCUUUAGAUCCCUCUAGAGGAGCCUGUUCUAGAACCGAUAACCCCCGUUAAACCUCACCUUCUCUUGUUCUCCCCGCCUAUAUACCGCCGUCGUCAGCAUACCCUGUGAAGGAACUAUAGUAAGCAAAAUUGGUAAAACCCAAAACGCCAGGUCGAGGUGUAGCAUAUGAGAAGGGAAGAAAUGGGCUACAUUUCCUCGUGGAGGAAAUACGGAUUGUGCCAUGCAACAGCACAUGAAGGAGGAUUUAGUAGUAAGUAGGAAGCAGAGUGUCCUGCUGAACCCGGCCCUGAAGCGCGCAC
rnacentral:rRNA from 1 species